rnacentral:misc_RNA from 1 species
AAAGUCGUAACAAGGUUUCCGUAGGUGAACCUGCGGAAGGAUCAUUAGUGAAUUCGCCUCGCUCAGAGGCGUCACCAAUCUCACCCUGUGAAAUGGCCCCUUUUUGACACGCAAGUGAUGUAUGCUGUAAACUUAAAGCGAAAACAACUUUCAGCAACGGAUCUCUUGGCUCCC